CGAAGGGGCGUAGCGUUGUUCGGAAUUACUGGGCGUAAAGCGCGCGCAGGCGGUUCGAUAAGUUAGGGGUGAAAUCCCCGGGCUCAACCCGGGAAUGGCCUUUAAGACUGUCGAGCUAGAGGACGAGAGAGGUGAGUGGAAUUCCCAGUGUAGAGGUGAAAUUCGUAGAUAUUGGGAAGAACACCGGUGGCGAAGGCGGCUCACUGGCUCGUUUCUGACGCUGAGGCGCGAAAGCGUGGGGAGCAAACAGGAUU
rnacentral:rRNA from 1 species